rnacentral:lncRNA from 1 species
UACCAAUGCAAAUAUAAGGUAAAAGUCCGAGUCAGCCUUUUUCCGCCAUAUUUUAAAUCAAAAAUAUCUCGAAAAUGACCUUAUAAUAUUUUUAGCUUAUCUUUAUCCUUAAUUGAUGCUCUACCAGCUUAUAGUAUCAAUUUUAAUUUCUUAAUUUCUUAAAUUUUACCAAACCUCACCUAAGUACAUCCUUAAGGGUCACACUUAAAGCUACAACGUGGGCAUUAAAAAUCCUGAAAUGUGAAGACCUCCCCAAAUAUUUAGUUGUACAUAUAUGGUAAUGAUUGAAGGAAGACCAAAAGUAGACUAGUUAAGAAACUUAAUAAAAGAAAAGCAUUGAAAAGGUUACAUGUAUUUUUUUUUAACCUAAUACUACAACUAUUUGGCCACAGAUAUUAUUAAGGACAAUUUGACGUUACUCAGAGUUCUGAUCAAUCAUUCAAUAUUGUCAUUUGUGUUUAAGAAUUUGUGAUAAUAUAUAUAAUCCCUUUUAAUAUAUUUUCAAAGAACGAUUGUGUUCGUUUGACAGAUUUUGGACGUGGCAUAUCGCUAAAUGCUUUGCAAGGUGCACUAGGAAUGUUUAUGUGUGCAGGUGUCGCAAUAUAUCCAGUUGAAUUGUUGUAUAUACAUAUGCUUAAAUUAAACAUGUAAAUAACAUGCAUUGACCCAAAGUUUAUCGCAGCUUCAUCCCCUCACUUUUGUGGCGGUUAAUCUGAUGCAGCUUGGUACAAUUUCAUUUGGCUAUACCGGAUUAAUAUAUGGCCAUUUCGCUCCGUUUGUUAUAAACAAUACUUGCAGAUGUUCUAUAUUUUAUUGAUAAAUAAACGCACAUUUUAUGGACCUCUGUUUUAUAGGAUCUAAAACAACAUGCGUGCAGGCAUGAUAUGCCUUUGUUAGUCUUGUAUUAUUUUAACUUUUAGUUUCUUGUGUACAAUUUGGAGUUUGGUAUGGUGUUCAUUAUCACUGAACCAGUAUAUAUUUGUUUAGGGGCCAGCUGAAGGACGCCUCCGGGUGCGAGAAUUUCUCGUUGCAUUGAAGACCUGUUGGUGACCUACUGUUGU